rnacentral:rRNA from 1 species
UAUGAACGCUAGCGGCAGGCCUAAUACAUGCAAGUCGAACGCGAUUGCGGUGCUCGCACCGCAUGAAAGUGGCGUACGGGUGCGUAACGCGUGAGCAACCUACCGUUGUCUGGGGGAUAGCCCGGAGAAAUCCGGAUUAAUACCGCAUAAUAUUAAGAAGCAGCAUUGCUUUUUGAUCAAACAUUUAUGGGACGGCGAUGGGCUCGCGUGACAUUAGCUAGUUGGAGUGGUAACGGCACACCAAGGCGACGAUGUCUAGGGGAUCUGAGAGGAUGACCCCCCACACUGGGACUGAGACACGGCCCAGACUCCUACGGGAGGCAGCAGUAAGGAAUAUUGGUCAAUGGAGGCAACUCUGAACCAGCCAUGCCGCGUGCAGGAAGAAUGCCCUCUGGGUUGUAAACUGCUUUUANCAGGGAAUAAACCCUUCUACGUGUAGGAGGCUGAAUGUACCUGAGGAAUAAGGAUCGGCUAACUCCGUGCC